GGACUUACUGGUGUUCAGGAUGGCACACUUUUUGCUGGGCGACAUAAAGAUGCAGACAGCCCUACGGAAAUACGUGGCUGAUCACGUGUUUAAAAGCACAACCGCCGACGAAGAACUGGCCAUCUUCGAACCUGACUUUACCAAGGAAAAUGUCACAGUGUGGCGCCAGGAAGGCUUCAAGACAAAGCAGCUGGAGCGCACGUUUGGGACCACCAGGAUGAUCACCUGG
rnacentral:lncRNA from 1 species